GUGCAUAUACUGUAUUCGUCCGGCUCCGAAAGGCGAAACGUGGACGCGGGAAGGUUUUUUGGAAUAUGCAGGUGGAGGAAGCCAAGAUCUUGCUCGGUUUUCCUCCCAAUUCUCGCCCCGAUCCUUCUCAGGUUAAAGCUGCUUACCGGAAGAAAGUUUGGGAAUCGCAUCCUGACCUAUUUCCAGAUGAUCAGAAGCUCGGUGCAGAGUCUAAGUUCAAAUCGAUAUCUGAAGCUUACUCUUGCCUUGAGUCUGGUGAAAUCAGGUUUUGUGAUGAAAGUUGACCGGAAAAUUUUGGGCCAUUGACGGAGGACUAAAUCCCGGUUCAAGCUAUUGUUGUUGGAAGAAUGAAAAAGAGACAAUUUGACAUACUAAUCUGUUCUACCAAUAACAAUUCUAGCUCAUUUGGGGUUUACAAGUUUGCAGAUCAGGGCACACUUACUCUGUUUUUUUUAAUUACAUAUCGAUCAUUCUGAACCAUCGUCUCUAGUAAAAGAUCAAGCUUUCUAAGUUCUACACAUUGGUCUCUCUUUACAGGUGAUAUUAAAGGUCAACAGUAUUCUAGAUCAGGUGUGUAUUCGAGGGUAGUCAAGACGGGAGUUCCACGGACUUAUGCAUAUGCCAAAAGAGGUAACGCCUGGUUGAUCGGUGCACCUUUCCUUUUGAUCGUCCUUGGAACCAUCGGGCUUGGUGGAAUCAAAGCUAACAGGGCAUAUAAUAUGCAAAAACAGACGUUCCCGUCUCACAACCCUUUCCUUCCUUGAUUCAGAGUCUCUUUCAACACAACAUUUUGUAGCAUUGAGAAUAAGUAUGUUUCUGUUUAUU